rnacentral:rRNA from 1 species
UAACGCGAAGAACCUUACCUACCCUUGACAUGUCCGGAAUCCUGCAGAGAUGCGGGAGUGCCCGAAAGGGAAUCGGAACACAGGUGCUGCAUGGCUGUCGUCAGCUCGUGUCGUGAGAUGUUGGGUUAAGUCCCGCAACGAGCGCAACCCUUAUCAUUAGUUGCUACGCAAGGGCACUCUAAUGAGACUGCCGGUGACAAACCGGAGGAAGGUGGGGAUGACGUCAAGUCCUCAUGGCCCUUAUGGGUAGGGCUUCACACGUCAUACAAUGGUCGGUACAGAGGGUUGCCAAGCCGCGAGGUGGAGCCAAUCCCAGAAAGCCGAUCGUAGUCCGGAUUGUUCUCUGCAACUCGAGAGCAUGAAGUCGGAAUCGCUAGUGAUCGCGGAUCAGCAUGUCGCGGUGAAUACGUUCCCGGGUCUUGUACACACCGA